rnacentral:lncRNA from 1 species
GAGUGGUAGAGCUGUAUGUAGCUACCCAUCUCAUACCUGAGCUGGGGCUGGACACAGGCAAGUUUCUGUCAUGUCACAGCGGGAGGGAACCUUAUACUCGGGGACGUGACAUGUCUCCUGUGGCAACCUCUUACAGACUAGGAUGGAGGUUUGUGUGUAAGGUCAGAUGUCUAGGCCAGGUCUGCUAUCCUAUUUCCUCUGCUUCAGUCAGCCUCUUCACCCACCCAGAGGCCCCAGGGAGUCCGCUCAGCCGAGUUGGUCACAGCCUUCAUGAAACCCUUUGCCAGGGCUCUAAGCCAGUGAGGCAGAAUGGAGUGUGGGGAACAGAAUAAGGACAGUUAGGAAUGGGACUGGACCCUGGGUGGCAAGCUAAACCCAGCUGAUGAGAGGCUACAGGAUUGGUCCGUCAAUUGGAAGGAGUGUAGGUGGGUCAGCAUGUCCUGUGGUAAGACAAGCUCUUCUCUGGGAGCAGGUAGUGAUCACAGGCCUUGGGACCCAAGGCCUGCCAAGUUAUAGGUCCAACAGAGAGACUUCACCGAUCCCAGCUGUCUGCAGUCUCAGCCAUACCACAGAGAAAAGGCUGGGCUACCGCCUCCCCCUUCUCCCCAGACCCUGUUCCAGGCCCCAGCUGCCUUCCUGGCUGGCUGCUGGCCCUGGCUCUCACCCUAAAGGGAGCCACUGGUAAACAGGAAGUGCUCCCCCAUGCAACGCUCCGGGCGCCAUCAACAGCCCACAGGCCGACAGACAUCCAAGCAGCGGGUUGGCUGUUCCCACCAGCUGCAGGAAAGGGGGUGGACAUGGGACCCUAAGCACUAUGGGUCUGGCUGCUGGGAAGAUGUCUUGGGCAGGGACCCACAGGUGCCCAGAGACUGAACCCCACCAGCACCUACCAUGAUGCAGACACUGACUCUGACUUCUGUCCAUCUUCCCAGAGACUGUCUGAAAGCGGCCCCCAAGUCCCAGAAAGGUGACUCCCCCAGCAUCGACUACACAGAGCUGCUGCAGCACUUUGAAAAAGUCCAGAAACAGCACCUGGAAGUAAGACACCAGCGCAGUGGGCGAGGGGAUCACCUGGACCGCAGAGUUAUCCUCUGAUGUGCCUAGCAUGGAAAAGGGCCCUAGUGGCCUAAGAAGCACUCAGGGUCUCUAAGCUGAGGCCACAAGGAGCCUAAGAACCUGCCUCCAGCAGGGCUGGACCCAACCACCAGCCAGGGUAGGGAGGGGGAUGGUAUUGGCUCUGUCAGCCUCAGCUCCUCCCAGCAGAGCACCUGGACCCCAGCACUGUCAGCUACACUCUGUCCUGGGACCGAUGGAUUCUCUCCUGAGUCGGGACUACAGCCUCAGAAUCCAGAAGCAGCCUCUUUCUAAUCCCUGUCUGUGAGAAGAGCUUGACCUUGGCCCCAGAGCACUGGCAUGGUGUGUGUGCAUAUGUACAUCUGUGUGGAAAUGCACACAGGCCAGCACAAAGACCUCUACAGAAUGAUGUCCAUCCCUGCCCCAAUAAAGAAAUCACAGAAUCC